GAACAUUAUCCUCUGCUCAUUUAUGAUCUGGAUAAAAUCAGAGCUGCUGGGUGCCCCAGUGCUGCACUGAUGAGAUAUCAGUUUUUACAGGGCGAAGGUUACCUUGUCUCCUCAGGCUAUGCUGCAAAGCCAUUUAAGGUAAUAUUUUCACCUGAAAGUACCUUUUAGGACAUAGCUUCACCAGACCUAAGUCUCUUGCGAUAACAGCUGGAGGAAGUCCUGCUUUCGCCUUGCUGCCCACCACUCCUUCAAGGCAGGGUCUUCACAAGAGGUGAAGCAAACUCUAUAAAAAUAAAAGUGUGUUUUCUUUUUUAGCUCGUAUCACCCAGCUAUCUGACCACAGCAGAGGGGAGCUGCAUUGAGAGAGGUGCAGUGAUGUGGGUCCCAGCAGGGGUUGAGGAAAGGCAGUGCCUCUUCCAGAAAGGAAGGAAGUUUCUCCAUCUCUACCCCAAUGGAUCCGUUGAGAGUUCACAUUACCUUCAGCAGUGACCCCCACAAGGCAAUGCGACGGCUGCCCUUUCUCCCCUGCACACAGCUCUGGCCCCCUCACUGCCCUCCCUCCUGUCAGUGGCUGCUCAAGCAGGCACGCAAUGAGCCACCAGCCUGGGGAACUAAAACAUGACAUUUCAGCACUAAAAUUCAAAAUCCAUUUCCUUUCCUUGCUUUACUAUGAGUAAGCCCCAGCUCACCGCAUAGCUGUAUGAAUGCUGACACAAGGGAUGAGGUGCCAGAGGAUAAGAAUGAACGGCCAGGGUUUCAAGGAUGCUGAGAGUGCCUGGGAAACUACAGAUCCCUUGUUCCCCCGUUUCUGUGAGCACAGUGAGCAGGAAGCAGUGCAACUGUGUCUGUGGGUCACAGGAAGAAGCACACUGACCCUGCAGCUCUCUCCAGCUCUGAUCUGAGCAGCUGGAGCUGACUCAGAGCUCUUGAUGCUGGUACUUAGUUUGUCAUUAGAAAACACAGUCAUUUGCUGCUUGACGAGCGGGGGGACAGACGGAUGGAUGGACACUAUGCGUGGGGCUGAAAUAAUCUUUCCAUGGAUUUUAACCCCAUUAUGGUUUUUGAUGGCCAUGCUACUUCAAAGAAACAUAGAAUAUCCCAGGUUGGAAUGGACCCAGGGGGACCGUUGAGUCCAACUCCUGUCCCUUCACAGUACCACACAAAAAAUCAGACCACACGACUGAGAACACUAUCCAAACGCUCCUUGAACUCCAGCACUCAGGGCCGUGCCCACCACCCUGUGGUGCAGCCCCUUUCCCUC
ensembl:lncRNA